rnacentral:rRNA from 1 species
UACGGAGGGUGCGAGCGUUGUCCGGAAUCAUUGGGCGUAAAGGGCGCGUAGGUGGCCCGGUCAGCGUGCGGUGAAAGCUCGGGGCUCAACCCCGAGUCGGCCGUGCGAACUGCUGGGCUGGAGCACGGUAGAGGCAGGCGGAAUUCCGGGUGUAGCGGUGGAAUGCGUAGAGAUCCGGAAGAACACCGGUGGCGAAGGCGGCCUGCUGGGCAGUGGCUGACACUGAGGCGCGACAGCGUGGGGAGCAAACAGG